AGAUGCGGGCCCAGCUGCUGCCCUACAGCAGGGAGGGGGGGGAUUUACCUCCCCCUUCUCCCCUUGUGUCUCUUCCUGCGGGGCAGAGCGAGACAAGCCGCUCGCGGCAAAUAGGAAAGAGCAGCAGCCCAGCUCCUGCUCUCCGGGUUUGCCGUGCAGCGGGGGCCCAGCUGUGUGGCAAUACCGCCCCCUGCCGGCCGCUGGCCACCGUGCAACGACACACACCGAGCCCCCCGCCUCAGCGCUGAGUCCGCCUUCCCUUCCGGGGCACCCCGGGGCGAGCCCCGCUCAGCACACGCGACAGCAUGGGAGCGCGCUUGGCCCGAUAGGACGGCGGGCCGGCCUGCAGCUCUUUUUCCUGGUUGCACUUGGGAGGGUCACAUCUGAAAAGGUGCCUGCUGGAUUACUCCCAGCAAGUCUGGUGGAUAAAACAGCUCAGCCAGGGUAGAGAAGAAAAAUCAGAAAGAGGCUGGCAGUUUUCAUGAGAAGAUAUGCUAAGAAAGCAGGUACCAGUCUGUUUGGAAUCUGCAGGACUAUGGUUUUGAAGUCAUGACCUAGAUAUGCCAAGAGCCUAAGGACAAAGGACUUGUUUCUGGCAAGCUUGCUGCAGAUUGCCUAGUUUAGUACUUACAAGUUAAGCAUUUACUGGCUUUUCUCAUUUCUGUAUAUUUGUUUUGUCUUGGUGCAACAAUAAACCAGCAAUGUUUGUGCAAUGAU